GGGAGAAAGGGCACGGGGAGAAGUUGGAGAGAGAGAGCCCGGCAUCAAGCACCCGGUGCAAGUGGCGGAGUACUGCCCACUGCGGGCGCCUUCAGCGCUUAUUCAGCGCCGAGCGCCCGUGCGCGGGGCACAAAAAGAGAGUGGGUGCGAGCGAGGAGGGCGGCCGGGGAGAGCCGCGCGCAGGCUGCAGGCGCCCGGCUCCGGCUGGCAGCGAGCGGCGGAAAGGCGCCUUUUUUCAUAUCGAAACCACGCGGAAUAUGUACAUUUUUGAUUCCUACUUACGCUUUCAGGGGGUUGUGAAUGACAGUCGCCAUUUUGCUACAAUGUAACAGAAUAUUGUGCCUCGGAGUUCUAAAGGCAUCCUCUGACCCUCAAAAAAAUGAAACAUAGGCCUGAUUUUGGUGUAAACAGAAGAACACAAAUCAGGAGAAAUUCAAGUGAAAUCAAUGAAGUUACACUGCUUUUGUACCAAC